GAGAACUAUUGCUGAUAAAGACAGCCAAGGCAUUUUAAAAGCCAACUAACAACCUUCAAGUUUGAAGGCAGAGGGCAGUCCAGCCCACCACACUGACCCAUGUGUUGCCCAUCAGCACAAGGGCUGCCCUCACUUGAGCCCUCUCAGUCCUGUCCAAUGCUCACCCCAUGCCCACAGCUCUUUGGGGUCUCACAGCACCCAGCUCCCCACAGGAUUAGACCUUUCUCAUUGCCAAAGUAACAGCUGUAAAUAGACACUUGGGUCUAAUUUCUACAGCUUUCGGUAUUGCAACUUACAUUUAGCCAAAAUAUUGACUCAUUUGUCUGAUUAGUCCCUAUUAAUCUCCUGGUCGACUUUUUCCUCCUCUUGCAGAUCCACUGGUUUAUGAACUGCAAUAAUAACCUUUCCAAACCAAUUUCUCUUUUGCAAAGCUGUUGAUUUUCCAUCACUCCAGUAGUGCUGGGAUGCUGAUCACCCCCUGCUUCUCUACCCUGCCCUGCUCUAGAAGUGCAUGCAAACAAAAAAGGAAAAAAAAAAAAAAGAAAAAAAAACCCUCAGCAAUAAGUUGGCUGAUUCUGGCAGCAAGACAAAUCUAGCACCACACAGCAGGCAGGAAGAGAAUGCACUGCUCAUCCUUUCGGUUUUGUCAGUGUAUGGGAAUGCUGGACAUCAACACACAGCGAGGGAUUCGGCCGAAAGCACUCCUCCUCGGCAUCUGAGCCCUGCUGCCCUCAUCCCCUUUUGGAAGAUACAGAUGUCAGAAGCCAAGACAGACAAGGGAAAAGUCAAACCAGCAGAAAGUUUUGAAAAUGACAAGCAAAAUAUUUCUUGGCUGAAGAAAGAACUGGACAAACCCAUCCUCCAGCCCCAUGGAGACUCAGGUAAGAUCCCCACAUCCUCAGCUCCUUCUCCUCAAGAUACCAUAUAAAUAUAACUACUGAAAUGACCCCUUUCUUGAAAGAAGAGAGGAUGAGAUAUUCUAACUCCUUGGGGAAUAUGAGCAAAGUGUUUCUUAUUAAUA
ensembl:lncRNA